AUUGAACGCUGGCGGCAGGCUUAACACAUGCAAGUCGAGCGGGGUGAUGGUGCUUGCACUAUCACUUAGCGGCAGACGGGUGAGUAAUGCUUAGGAAUCUGCCUAUUAGUGGGGGACAACAUCUCGAAAGGGAUGCUAAUACCGCAUACGUCCUACGGGAGAAAGCAGGGGAUCACUUGUGACCUUGCGCUAAUAGAUGAGCCUAAGUCGGAUUAGCUAGUUGGUGGGGUAAAGGCCUACCAAGGCGACGAUCUGUAGCGGGUCUGAGAGGAUGAUCCGCCACACUGAGACUGGGCCACGGCCCAGACUCCUACGGGAGGCAGCAGUGGGGAAUAUUGGACAAUGGGGGGAACCCUGAUCCAGCCAUGCCGCGUGUGUGAAGAAGGCCUUAUGGUUGUAAAGCACUUUAAGCGAGGAGGAGGCUCUUUUGGUUAAUACCCAAGAUGAGUGGACGUUACUCGCAGAAUAAGCACCGGCUAACUCUGUGCCAGCAGCCGCCGUAA
rnacentral:rRNA from 1 species